rnacentral:rRNA from 1 species
CAGUCGCCGCGGGAAUACGAAGGGGGCUAGCGUUGUUCGGAAUUACUGGGCGUAAAGCGCACGUAGGCGGAUACUUAAGUUAGGGGUGAAAUCCCAGGGCUCAACCCUGGAACUGCCUUUAAUACUGGGUAUCUUGAGUUCGAGAGAGGUAAGUGGAAUUCCGAGUGUAGAGGUGAAAUUCGUAGAUAUUCGGAGGAACACCAGUGGCGAAGGCGGCUUACUGGCUCGAUACUGACGCUGAGGUGCGAAAGCGUGGGGAGCAAACAGGAUUAGAUACCCCUGUAGUCCCUGUCUCUUAUAC